GCCCGGGUGGCGGAAUAGGUAGACGCGCUGGACUUAAAAUCCAGUGAUCAUUACGAUCGUGCCGGUUCGACCCCGGCCUCGGGUA
rnacentral:tRNA from 1 species